UAGGGAAUCUUCCACAAUGGACGCAAGUCUGAUGGAGCAACGCCGCGUGAGUGAAGAAGGUUUUCGGACCGUAAAGCUCUGUUGUUGGUGAAGAAGGAUAGAGGUAGUAACUGGCCUUUAUUUGACGGUAAUCAACCAGAAAGUCACGGCUAACUACGUGCCAGCAGCCGCGGUAAUACGUAGGUGGCAAGCGUUGUCCGGAUUUAUUGGGCGUAAAGCGAGCGUAGGCGGAAGAAUAAGUCUGAUGUGAAAGCCCUCGGCUUAACCGAGGAAUUGCAUCGGAAACUGUUUUCUUGAGUGCAGAAGAGGAGAGUAGAACUCCAUGUGUAGCGGUGGAAUGCGUAGAUAUAUGGAAGAAUACCAGUGGCGAAGGCGGCUCUCUGGUCUGCAACUGACGCUGAGGCUCGAAAGCAUGGGUAGCGAACAGGAUUAGAUACCCUGGUAGUCCAUGCCGUAAACGAUGAGUGCUAAGUGUUGGGAGGCUUCCGCCUCUCAGUGCUGCAGCUAACGCAUUAAGCACUCCGCCUGGGGGAGUACGACCGCAAGGUUGAAAC
rnacentral:rRNA from 1 species